GACGAACGCUGGCGGCGUGCCUAACACAUGCAAGUCGAACGGGGUGAAGAGCUUCGGCUUUUCACUUAGUGGCGAACGGGUGAGUAACGCGUGAGUAACCUGCCUUUCAGAAGGGGAUAACAGUUGGAAACGACUGCUAAUACCGCAUAACGUAUCGGAACCGCAUGAUUCUGAUACCAAAGCUGAGGCGCUGAAAGAUGGACUCGCGUCUGAUUAGAUAGUUGGUGAGAUAACGGCCCACCAAGGCGACGAUCGGUAGCCGACCUGAGAGGAUGAACGGCCACAUUGGGACUGAGAUACGGCCCAGACUCCUACGGGAGGCAGCAGUGGGGAAUAUUGGGCAAUGGGGGAAACCCUGACCCAGCAACGCCGCGUGAAGGAAGAA
rnacentral:rRNA from 1 species